GCAGGUUCAGCGGCCACGGCUCACGGGCCCAGCCGCUCCGCGGCAUGUGGGAUCUUCCCGGACCGGGGCACGAACCCAUGUCCCCUGCAUCGGCAGGCGGACUCUCAACCACUGCGCCACCAGGGAAGCCCAACUAGUGCUCUUCUGAAUCCACUUCCUGCCACUGUCAGCUUCCCCCAGUCAGAAAAUUGCAUGGUCUCCUGUCAAAAGAACCUUGGCUACUGGCUUCUGAACCAUCUUGCUUGGCGCUGGCAUCUCUGUGACCUCCCAGGAUGGGUCUUGGCCUUACCAUCCCUUUGCCAUCCUGGGCCACCACUCCCAACUUUAACCACAGACUCAGACAGUUGCCCGAUCUCUAGAUUCUGGUGACAGCCUGCCUACUUGCUCUUCUUGCCCUCACCAAACUCACUGACCAAGCACAUCGCACAAGAAGAGGUGUCAUCACCAAGAAGAGGGUCUCUAUAUCAACUAUUAGGAAUGUCUCUGUGCAGAGCUAGGAGGAUGAGAGGCUGACCACACUCCAUGUCCCAAGACUCUUUUGAGGGUGAUAAAUGAGGGAAACGCUGCACAUGGAUGACUGGGGCUUGAGUGCCAACCAUAUCAAGGACACGUGACUUACAGGGAAGCACAGCUUCUAGUACGCCAAGUCUUACCAAGGAUGAAGCAUAGUAGUGAUACCUGCAUAUUGACAGAUUACUCUUCUUUCCUUACCUAAUGCUUUUCAGUAAGUAUUAUUAAAAGUUGCUCCAGGGCUUCCCUGGUGGCGCAGUGGUUGAGAGUCCGCCUGCCGAUACAGGGUACAUGGGUUCGUGCCCCGGUCCGGGAAGAUCCCACAUGCCGUGGAGCGGCUGGGCCCGUGAGCCAUGGCCGCUGAGCCUGCGCGUCCAGAGCCUGUGCUCCGCAACGGGAGAAGCCACAACAGCGAGAGGCCCGCGUACCGCAAAAAAAAAAAAAAAAAAAAAAAGUUGCUCCAUCAUCUUCAUAAUCAGCUUAUUUAUAUAAAAGUCCAUCUAAUAUUGAAUACAUGGAACAGGUUCAGUGUUCCCAAGUAUUGUUGGACAAUUGUCUGCUAAGAUGGCAGGAUUGGUGGCCACAAGACCACAUAACAUUCCAAGUGCUGAAAGCUACAGGAUUUCACAAAUCUCCAUUGCCACCCCUGAUACAGUUCAGUGGUGCUCUUUCAACCAUGGCUGGAUUUCAGAAUCCCCGGGGAUCCUCUCAAACCAGGCUAAUGCCUGGUCCCACCGUGCACCCAUUAAAUCAGUGUGGUGUCUACCACUCCAUCCAGAGAUGGCCACAUGUAGUGAGGUCUCAACCAGGGCCUCCAAUGCUUGCUUGGUGGCUCCACAGGAGCUGUCUUUCCAGGGAAGCCAGUCAUCUCCCUGCUAGUUCUUUCUCUUCCCUUCUCAGGAUAACUGUAACUUCUUCAGGUCCUACCUUUCAGUCGUGUAAGUGUUAGUUGACUUGUUUGAUUCGUUGCCUUGGGGGCAGAGGGUUGAGUUAGCCAUUCUCCUCAAUUCAUGGCACACUGUUAUUGUGGUUAAUGUUCAUCCCUCCUCCCUCCUUACCCUUUUCUCCACAUUUCCUUAGUUUUUACCUAAUGUCCCCUUUCUGUUCCAGGAUCCCAUCUAGGAUAUCAGGUUAUAUUUAUUCAUCAUGUUUCCUUUGGAUCCUCUUGGCUGUGGUUGUUUCUCAGACCGUCCUUGUUUUUGAAGAUUUUGACAGUGUUGAAGAUGACUGGUCAGGUGUAUUUUGUAGACUGUCUUCAGUUGGGAUUGGUCUGAUAUUCUUCUCAUGAUUAGACCUUGGUUAUGAGUUUUAGGGAGGAAGACCACAGAGGUAGAGUCAUUUUCAUCACAUGAUGUCAAGGGUGAAUACUAUCAACAUGACUUGUCACUGUUGAUGCUGAUUUGGAUCACCUGGCUGAGGUCAUGUUUGUCAGAUUUCCCCCCAUGAAGUUAUUUUUUUCCUUUUUUCCACACUGUUGUCUGUGGCAGAAUGUCACUGAAUAGAAAGUUGUACUCCACCUUCUUGAGGGUGGACCAUAUGUAUAAACUAUUUGAAAUUCUUUUCGGGGGAGAUUAUCUCUUCUCCCUAACCUUAUUUAUGUAUUUAAUCAUUUAUUUAUGUCAGUAUAAACUCAUGAAUGUUUAUUUUAUACUUUGGGUUAUAAUCCAAUACUACUUAAUUUCUUUUGUUGCUCAAAUGAAGUUUCAACUCUGGCCUCUGAUAAUGCUCCCUUGGCUUCUGUGUCCUUUUGACAUACUAUGUCUCUCUCUCUCUCUCUCUUUUCUUUUUAAAACCAUAUUCUUCCUCUCUGUCACUGUAAGAUGCUCCAGAUUUUUCUUGAGAGUUUCUUGCCCCACUCUUAGAAUCAGCCAUUUCUCCAAGGAUCCUUGUUUUCUUUUUACUGAAAAUAUCAUUAAACACCAAGAUCUUGGCACUAGGUGUGCUUGCUGUUACUGGGAUACUAUUCCUUCAGGCUCCCUCAGCUGUCAGAACAAGGAAAUAUAUGUGUGUAUAUACACAUAGCUAUAUGUAACCGUCUGUGUCUCUAUUAAGCUAAAUAUGGGUUUAUACUAAUAUCUCCAACUAUAAUCUGUUAUCACAUGGAUCAUUCACACCUCCUUCUCUUGCUUAUCUGUCACCUUUUACUCAACAGUGAGAAACUUGCCCCUCCAUCCACUUAUUUAACUGCCCUAAUCCAAUAUACAUGUAUAACAGUAUCAGAAUUAUUAACACCUACCCCCCCAUAGAAAAUAACUCUAUCAACUAGACUACAUGCUUGUGUAUAGUUUCUGUUGCCUUUACUCUUACAGAUUUUACUGAAUUCCAAAGUUACUUAGAUCACGACCUUUCUCUCCCACCCCCUUCAGUGAGCUUGUUUCAUACAUUUGUAAUGCAGUUAGAUUCAUUUGUCCCAAUCUGCAUUCCAUCCUGGGAUCCCCUGACCUCCCAAAUGAUUUUUCAACUUUAUGUAUACUAUGAUUCACUGUGCUGUAAAGUUCUAUGAGUUUUUGACAAAUGUAUAGUGUCUCUCUCAGAGACAACCACACUUGGAAUAUUGUUUUACAAUAAAAA